rnacentral:misc_RNA from 1 species
GGAAGAUGCUCAAUCACCGAUGACACGACCAGAUACAGUAAAUGAUACUAGGUUUCUUGCUGGAGGAGGUCAUGUUGUUUCUGCUAUACCAAGUGAAGAACUUGAUCUCGAUGUAGAAGAGUUCAAUAUUCCAUGGAAUGAUCUGGUUCUAAUGGAGAAAAUUGGGGCAGGGUCUUUUGGUACUGUUCACCGUGCUGAUUGGAAUGGUUCUGAUGUUGCUGUGAAGAUACUCAUGGAACAAGAUUUUCAUGCAGAGCGAUUCAAGGAAUUUUUGCGGGAGGUUGCAAUUAUGAAGCGGUUGCGACACCCAAAUAUUGUGCUUUUUAUGGGUGCAGU